rnacentral:tRNA from 1 species
GCCCAGGUAGCUCAGUUGGUAGAGCAGGGGACUGAAAAUCCCCGUGUCGGUGGUUCGAUUCCGCCCCUGGGCACAA